rnacentral:rRNA from 1 species
ACAGUGUCGCGAUAGUAAUUCAACCUAGUACGAGAGGAACCGUCGAUUCACACAAUUGAUCAUCGCGCUUGGUUGAAAAGCCAGUGGCGCGAAGCUACCGUGUGCCAGAUUAUGACUGAACGCCUCUAAGUCAGAAUCCAAGCUAGCAUGCGACGCCUGCGCCCGCCGCCCGCCCCGACCCACGUUAGGGGCGCUUGCGCCCCCAAGGGCCCGUGCCAUUGGCUAAGCCGGUCCGGCCGAAGUGCCGCGGUCGGCCGCCUCGAAGCUCCCUUCCCAACGGGCGGUGGGCUGAAUCCUUUGCAGACGACUUAAAUACGCGACGGGGCAUUGUAAGUGCCAGAGUGGCCUUGCUGCCACGAUCCACUGGGAUCCAGCCCCAUGUCGCACGGAUUC